AAUUUUGGACAAUGGGGGAAACCCUGAUCCAGCCUUCCUGCGCGUAUGAUGAAGGCCUUCGGGUUGUAAAGUCCUUUUGGCAGAGCAGUAAAGGUAUCUCCUAGUACGAGAUACUGCUGACGGUAUCUGCAGAAUAAGCACGGGCUAUCUACGUGCCAGCAGCCGCCGUAAUACGUAGGGUGCAAGCGUUAAUCGGAAAUACUGGGCGUAAAGCGGUGGUAGGCGGUUCGGAAAGAAAGAUGUGAAAUCCCAGGGCUCAACCGUGGAACUGCAUUUUUAACUGCCGAGCUAGAGUAUGUCAGAGGGGGGUAGAAUUCCACGUGUAGCAGUGAAAUGCGUAGAUAUGUGGAGGAAUACCGAUGGCGAAGGCAGCCCCCUGGGAUAAUACUGACGCUCAGACACGAAAGCGUGGGGAGCAAACA
rnacentral:rRNA from 1 species